rnacentral:rRNA from 1 species
UGGGGAAUAUUGGACAAUGGGGGCAACCCUGAUCCAGCCAUGCCGCGUGUGUGAAGAAGGCCUUUUGGUUGUAAAGCACUUUAAGCAGGGAGGAGAGGCUAAUGGUUAAUACCCAUUAGAUUAGACGUUACCUGCAGAAUAAGCACCGGCUAACUCUGUGCCAGCAGCCGCGGUAAUACAGAGGGUGCGAGCGUUAAUCGGAAUUACUGGGCGUAAAGCGAGUGUAGGUGGCUCAUUAAGUCACAUGUGAAAUCCCCGGGCUUAACCUGGGAACUGCAUGUGAUACUGGUGGUGCUAGAAUAUGUGAGAGGGAAGUAGAAUUCCCAGGUGUAGCGGUGAAAUGCGUAGAGAUCUGGAGGAAUACCGAUGGCGAAGGCAGCUUCCUGGCAUAAUAUUGACACUGAGAUUCGAAAGCGUGGGUAGCAAACAGGAUUAGAUACCCUGGUAGUCCACGCCGUGAACGAUGUCUACUAGCCGUUGGGGUCCUUGAGACUUUAGUGGCGCAGUUAACGCGAUAAGUAGACCGCCUGGGGAGUACGG